rnacentral:rRNA from 1 species
AACGAACGCUGGCGGCAUGCCUAACACAUGCAAGUCGAACGAGACCUUCGGGUCUAGUGGCGCACGGGUGCGUAACGCGUGGGAACCUGCCCUUAGGUUCGGCAUAACUCCCCGAAAGGGGUGCUAAUACCGGAUAAUGUCUUCGGACCAACGAUUUAUCGCCUUUGGAUGGGCCCGCGUUGGAUUAGCUAGUUGGUAGGGUAAAAGCCUACCAAGGCGACGAUCCAUAGCUGGUCUGAGAGGAUGAUCAGCCACACUGGGACUGAGACACGGCCCAGACUCAGCGGGGAGGAGGAGGGGGGAAAUAUUGGAGAGGGGGAAAAAGAGUAACAAAGAAAGGCGGGGGGAGAAAAAAAGGCGUUGGGGUUGAAAGGUUUUUUUCCCGGGGAUAAAAAGAAAAGAACGGGGAAAAAAAGCGCGGACAAACCCGGGG